GCCGGGAGCAGUGGCACGUGCCUGUAGUCCCAGCUACUCAGGAGGCUGAAGUGGGAGGAUCCCUUGAGCCUAGGAGUUCCGGGCUGUAGUGCGCUAUGCCAGUUGGGAGCUCACACUAAGUUCGGCAUCAAGAUGGUGACCUCCCGGGAAGCGGGGGACCACCAGGUUGCCUAAGAAGGGGUGAACCGGCCCAGGUUGGAAACAGAGUAGGUCAAAACUCCCAUGCUGAUCAGUAGUGGGAUCAUGUCUGUGAACAGCCACUGCACUCCAGCCUGGGCAACACAGCAAGACCCCAUCUAU
rnacentral:SRP_RNA from 1 species